CUUCUCACCUGUGUGGGUGCGCAGGUGCUCUUUCAGGUGGACUUUUUGUGAGAAGCUCCGAGGGCACGAAGGGCACGCAAAUGGCUUCUCGCCUGUGUGGGUGCGCAGGUGAACGUUUAGGGCAUCUCUCUUCGAGAAGUUCUGAGGGCAUGAAGGGCACUGAAAUGGCUUCUCACCUGUGUGGGUGCGCAGGUGCUCUUUCAGGUGGAUUUUUUGUGAGAAGCUCUGAGAGCAUGAAGGGCACUGAAAUGUCUUCUCACCCGUGUGGGUGCGCAGGUGAACGUUUAGG